ensembl:snoRNA
GGGCUCCUGUGAUGGCCAGCACUGGGCUCUGAUCAACCUUGAGGAUUCAGUGCCCUCCAAGACCUUUGACACUUGGGGGUCUGAGGGGCCA